UCUGUGCCAAAUUGGCCGACUGUCUGUAUCUGUCUGUAGCCUGAUAUGGAAUCUUGAAAGGUGGCCGAACGUAGGAGAGAAUCCUGGCCGAUAAUAAACAGCAACCGGCCCAAGUCACAAAUGACAAGUGCGGGCUCGGUCUGUUCUGCAGGAAUAAUCACGCUAUCCCUUUAAAUCCACUUCCUGCACAAGGCCCAGCAAGGUUACAGGAAGCACCAGCCUGCUGCUGUGUAGUAGAUGUUGAGGAAAUGAUACCUCAGAUAUUUUACCUCGGCUUUUUGAACCGCACAACAAAGCGGGAGGCGCUCCUGACACGAUCCGCUGUGAGGGGAGCGAGACGAGACAGUGAGAGGAAGUGCAGUUAAAUUCCACGGACUGUCAAAAAUGGAAACAAGGUAAUUGGGAUUCCUGUCCACGACGCCUCACAUUCGUCGAACCUUGACGCACGUUACUGUCUCUGGAGCCAUGGGCUGAAAUGAACAGGGUGUAGAUUGCUGAAACAUGUCAGAGAGCUUAAAGGAGAUUCCUCCCCGAUCAAUCAAGAAAGAAAGAAAGAAAGAAAGAAAGAAAGAAAGAAAAGAGGGGGCACUAGGACCCAGAAGACGAGCCUGAAAGCUCACCUCAGUCUUUCUUGCAUAGAAAACAACCCAGGAGACAGAACAGACCAGCUUUUGUUUGGUCAGAUUCCUCUGUGAUUUGAUUAUCAUGUGUGUUGAGAGGCAACAACUUGAGGACUUGCUCAGAAAGAAGAGAAGCAGACUAUCUCUGUGUGGUUGGAGCAGACGAUGAAUGAAGAGGAAAGCAUCGCGUUAAUGAGCUAUUGAGCGUGAAGAAGAUUUCCUCUGCAGAAUUCCUGGAUGUUAGUUGUCAUACUGCUUCAUCUGAGUUUGGUAUAGCUGUGAUUCUUCAGCGUUGCCUUAAUCAGCAAUACGACCCAAACUGUGCAGAAAGCAGGACAAGAUAACAUGCAUACGAUGGUGGUUGGGAUAAGAUGCAACGGUGACGACAAAUGAAAAGAGAUGAAAGCUGAAAUAAUGCGAGCACUGGGCAGGUAGCGGAGGUGCAGUGUUUUCUCUGCUCAGUUUACCUUGAAAUGUUAGAAAUACUGCUCAAUAAUACACAAGCACACUCAGUAUAAUGGAUACUUUACUCUCAGCAGAUCCUCAAGGCCACUUCUCCCUCCAGCUUUAAUGACAAAAUCAUCUCUACAGGGCAGAAUGGACUGUGUUUAAUUUGGAAAUAUUAAUCAUACUUUUCCACACCUCAUUCCACAAAAGGAAAAGUUCCUUUUCCACUGUGUUACACGGGGCAAAAUGAGCCGUGGGUGCAUGUGUGAGAAGGACUGUGUGUGUGUUUUUGUGCUGAGAUUUUGUGCUGCUACAUCCUCAGUCACACAACAUUGGACCAAACGUUACCAAACCUAAAAACCUACUGACCCUAAAGAGGAAGUAGACGACAUGCUUCAGUCUCUGCCUGUCGCUGUCACACUAAAAUGAACCACAUUUAAGUUGAGUUUAUUAAAAUACACAAACAGUGGAGCAGUAAGAAACCCUGGGGUAUAAGUGAAGCUCCUACCAUGUUUUGGAAACUUUGGCAACCACACUCCACAAUGUUUACACUAAGAUAGCAUUAAGCAUUUCAAACACUUAAGGUCUCUGUUGUUUAUGUAUUUCUAUGCUGUUUUAAAGCACUUUGAGUUGCCCUGUGUAUGAAUAGUGCUAUACAAAUAAA